rnacentral:rRNA from 1 species
GACGGAAGGUGCAAGCGUUGCUCGGAAUCACUGGGCGUAAAGGGUGCGUAGGCGGCCGCGCAAGUCUGGCGUGAAAGCCCCGGGCUCAGCCCGGGAAGGGCGCUCGAAACGGCGCGGCUCGAGUGCCGGAGGGGAGAGUGGAAUUCCUGGUGUAGCGGUGAAAUGCGUAGAUAUCAGGAGGAAUACCGGUGGCGAAAGCGGAUCUCUGGGCCUGUCCUGACGCUGAGGCGCGAAAGCUAGGGGAGCGAACAGG